AUUGAACGCUGGCGGCAGGCCUAACACAUGCAAGUCGAACGAGUGGCGGACGGGUGAGUAAUGUCUGGGAAACUGCCUGAUGGAGGGGGAUAAGUACUGGAAACGGUAGCUAAUACCGCAUACCAUCAGAUGUGCCCAGAAGGGAUUAGCUUGUUGGUGGGGGAACGGCUCACCAAGGAGACGAUCCCUAGCUGGUCUGAGAGGAUGACCAGCCACACUGUAACUGAGACCCGGUCCAUCCUCCUACGGCAGGCAGCCGUGGGGAAUAUCGCCCAAUGGACGCACGCCUGAUACAGCCAGGCCGCGUGUAUGAAGACGGCCUUCGGGUUUUAAAGUACUUUCAGCGGGGAGGCGUUACCCGCACAAGAAGCGCCGGCUAACUCCGUGCCAGCAGCCGCGGUAAUAC
rnacentral:rRNA from 1 species